GUGAGGAAUAUUGGUCAAUGGGCGAGAGCCUGAACCAGCCAAGUCGCGUGAAGGAAGAAGGAUCUAUGGUUCGUAAACUUCUUUUGCAGGGGAAUAAAGUGCGGGACGUGUCCUGUUUUGUAUGUACCCUGAGAAUAAGGAUCGGCUAACUCCGUGCCAGCAGCCGCGGUAAUACGGAGGAUCCGAGCGUUAUCCGGAUUUAUUGGGUUUAAAGGGUGCGUAGGUGGUUUGAUAAGUCAGCGGUGAAAGUUUGCAGCUUAACUGUAAAAAUGCCGUUGAAACUGUCGGACUUGAGUGUAAAUGAGGUAGGCGGAAUGCGUGGUGUAGCGGUGAAAUGCAUAGAUAUCACGCAGAACUCCGAUUGCGAAGGCAGCUUACUAAGCUACAACUGACACUGAAGCACGAAAGCGUGGGGAUCAAACAGGAUUAGAUACCCUAGUAGUCC
rnacentral:rRNA from 1 species